AUUGAACGCUGGCGGCAUGCCUAACACAUGCAAGUCGAGCGAGCAGAUCCCUUCGGGGUGAAGCUAGCGGCGGACGGGUGAGUAACACGUGGGCAACCUGCCUCAUAGAGGGGAAUAGCCUUCCGAAAGGAAGAUUAAUACCGCAUAAGAUUGUAGCUUCGCAUGAAGCAGCAAUUAAAGGAGCCAUCGGCUAUGAGAUGGGCCCGCGGCGCAUUAGCUAGUUGGUGAGGUAACGGCUCACCAAGGCGACGAUGCGUAGCCGACCUGAGAGGGGGGUCGGACACAUUGGGACUUGAACACGGCCCAGACUCCUACGGGAGGCAGCAGUGGGGAAUAUUGCACAAUGGGGGAAACCCUGAUGCAGCAAUGCCGCGUGAGUGAUGACGGCCUUCGGGUUGUAAAGCUCUUUUACCCGGGACGAUAAUGACUGUACCGGGAGAAUAAGCCCCGGCUAACUUCGUGCCAGCCGCCGCGGUAA
rnacentral:rRNA from 1 species